GGUGUUGUGGCUCAGUGGUAGAGUGCUUGCCUAACAUGUGUGAGGCAUUGGGUUCAAUUCUCAGCACCCCA
rnacentral:tRNA from 1 species